rnacentral:rRNA from 1 species
CCGUAAACGAUGAGUGCUAAGUGUUAGAGGGUUUCCGCCCUUUAGUGCUGCAGCAAACGCAUUAAGCACUCCGCCUGGGGAGUACGGUCGCAAGACUGAAACUCAAAGGAAUUGACGGGGGCCCGCMCAAGCGGUGGAGCAUGUGGUUUAAUUCGAAGCAACGCGAAGAACCUUACCAGGUCUUGACAUCSUCUGACAACCCUAGAGAUAGGGCUUCCCCUUCGGGGGCAGAGUGRCAGGUGGUSCAUGGUGGUCGUCAGCUCGUGUCGUGAGAUGUUGGGUUAAGUCCCGCAACGAGCGCAACCCUUGAUCUUAGUUGCCASCAUUCAGUUGGSCACUYUAAGGUGACUGCCGGUGMCAAACCGGAGGAAGGUGGGGAYGACGUCAAAUCAUCAUGCCCCUUAUGRCCUGGGCURCRCACGUGCUMCAAUGGGCAGAACAAAGGGCAGCRAAGCCGCGAGGYUAAGCCAAUCCCACAAAUCUGUUYUCAGUUCGGAUCGCAGUCUGCAACUSGAYUGCGUGAAGCKGGAAUCGYUAGUAAUCGCGGAUCACCAUGCCGCGGUGAAUACGUUCCCGGSCCUUGUMCACACCGCCCGUCRCACCACGAGAGUUUGUARCACCCGAAGUCGGUGAGGUAACCUUUUGGAGCCAGCCGCCGAAGGUGGGACAGAUGAUUGGGGUGAA